UGGUGUGUCCAAUUGGCGCCGGUUAGCACGAGAAAGAAACGACGGGCGCGCUUUGUUAAGCUCGGCCAAAAUCGCGUAAGCGGUUAUCGCGCCAAUUAAGAAGAAGAAUGGACCCAGCGUUUCAUCAUCAUUUGAAUGGUUUCAUGUGCUGGAUGGCCCCCUGAACCUCAUCGCUGGAAAAAGCAAGUGGCGCACUGUUGUAUGUCAGUUUGUGCUGCCAUCUGGUGGCACUACGUUUGGAUCUGUCGGCCGGAGGAUGCAGAAUAAAUUGCCGGUUUAAAUAGCACGCGCAUCUCUUCGGAUCCGACGAAGCACGACCGUUGAAGAUGAUAUCAACCUUGUCUUUGCGCUUCGUCGGGUUCGACAGGGACCUUACGGUAGACCAGAGCUUGCUCACACCAGAGGUGAAGUUGCAGGACUUCAGAUGCUCCACCCAUUUGGUCCGCUUGGUAUGAACGGUGCAGCCCUGUCGAAAUUUUCGUUGUAUACCGAAUUUAGAGUCGAAUGCAAUUUUGCUUUCGAUUGUGUAGCAUAUUGUAGGAAAACUUGUUAAAAUGUAAGUUGUUUGCGAUUAUUUAUGGAUUUAUAGUAACCAAAUAAUAAAUAUAUACUAAUUUUGUUAAUUUUAUGCAGGUCGAAAGUCGUGAGUACCAAACAGCAAUUAGAAAGGCUAGUUUCAUUAAUGGAAGAGAAUCCACAAUUCGCAAAAGGGAUUUGCAAAGUUCAAGCAACAAAAAAUGGGAGGAAUUUACAACGGAGCUGAAUUGCUUGGGACUACCAGUUAGAACGGCAGCAAAAUGGACUCAGGUUAAUAAUGUUUUUUUUUUGUGAUGUUUAUAGAAAUACAUUUUUAUUUUCCCUUGGCUGAUAUGGGCUGAAAUACGUAGAGGAACUGAAAUACAUAUUUUUCUCGAAUGACGAAUAAUUGAAUAAAGAAAAUUUGUAACAAAAAUAAAACAGAAACUUUGGCGUAAAGGUUUCUAUUUAAUACUUUUUAGAUUUUUCUAUAAUAUUCUAAGAAUUUCAAUACUUAUGCUGUAUUUGCUAUAAAAAUGUGCUUUUCUUUGUUGCAGAUCAGCCUCUGUACUACUAAAUUUUAUCCAUCUUUGGCAAAUAUAAUUUUCCAGGGCAUCUAUUAUUUCCGAUAGCACAACAGACACAGUGGGUUGAGCAAGUCCUAGCAUACCUUCAUUACCAAUACUCGAUUGGUUUGAACCCUGAGCAUAAAGUCGCAGAACUGUGGCCCUUAUUAUGAGCAACAUUCGAUCUUCGACUGUAGUCGAAAGUGCUGAUCGAACGAAUUUUCAUUUGGUAUUAUGGUGCUCAUUCGCUGAAGAAUAGAACUAUUGUGAAUUUCGAUCGCUCGACGCAUUUACAAUAGAUAAUUUUUUCUCAGCUGGUACAGCUGUAUUGAAAUUCUUUGUUAACAACAUUUUUAAAAGUUAAAAAGGUUUUGGCAUCAUACAAUGAAAAUAACUUAUAUAAGUGCGAAAAAUCCAGGAGCUACUCAUGAUUCCAUGGCUUUCAACAUGUCGCCAUUGAAAGCGCAUUUAGAGGAGCAACAUCUCAAUGGCCGUCGCAAUACUUGGCUCCUCGGUAUGUAAUAUACACCAAUUGUAUUUCCGUUUUUGAUAAUUUUUGUCUGUCUCAGGUGAUGCUGGAUACGCUCUAAAACCAUACUUAAUGACAAACAACAUGCUAAAGCGAGAAGUAUCAUUGAGAGAACAAUUGGAGUCUUGAAAAACCGGUUUAGAUGUUUGUUCCAGGCAAGAGCUCGCCACUAUUCUCCAAAAAACAGCAACACAAAUUAUUAAUGUGUGUGCAGCUUUGCACAACAUUUGUCUGCUUUACAAUAUUCAAGCUCCGGAUGAAGAGUUAUCCGAUGAGACCCUCAACGAUGAUGCUGGAGAUAUUGAAGUGGAGUCAAAUAACGGAGAAGCAGAAAACAUAAGAAAUGAAAUUCUUAGAAUAUUAUGGAAAAAACUAAAAAGUAUUAAAUAAAAACUUUACGCCAUAGUUUCUUUAUUAUUUUUGUUAUAAAUUUUCCUUAUUCAAAUAUUCGUCAUUCAGCAGCCCAUACGUGCCAAGGGAAAAUAAAAACGUAUUUCUACAAACAUCAGAAAAAAAAAACAUUAUUAACCUUAAUCCAUUUUGCUGCCGUUCUAACUGGUGGUCCUAAUCAAUUCAGCUUCGUUGUAAACUCCUCCCACUUUUUUGGUGCUUGAACUUUUGUGUAAAUCCCUUUUGCGAUUUGUGUAUUCUCUUCCAUUAAUGCAAUCAGCCUUUCUAAUUGCUGUUUGGUACUCACGACUUUCGACCUGCAUAAAAUUAACAAAAUUAGUAUAUAUUUAUUAUUUGGUUACAAUAAAACCUUAAAUAUUGGCAAACUACUUACAUUUUAACUAAUUUUCCUACAAUACGCUACACAAUCGAAAGCAAAAUUGCAUUCGACUCUAAAUUCGGUAAACAACGAAAAUUUCGAUAGGGUUGCACCGCUCAUAAUACCAAAAUGACAUUCGAUUUUCGAUCUUCGACAACCAGCAAAUAUCGAAGAUCGAAUCUAUCUCAUAAUAGGGGCCUGUACCUAGCUUAAAAAUAUUUGGAAUGGAUUUGACUCGGGUGCACUGCUGCAACUGGUUUUCUGUACUGGACAGUAGGUUCAUAAGCGCCUCUUUAGAUAAUCUAAAGUUCUUUAAAAAUCUGUAAGGAAAUUUCUGUAAUAUUAAGUACGUCAACACAUUUUAAAAAUUCUAAACGUACUCAGUGGAAGCCAUUUCUAGGGGGUUGGAUGCGCCCCUCAACUGUUUUCUACUUCUAGCUAGUUCCACUAAUCUUUCAUCGUCCGAUAAAUCGUCGAACCACAACUCCGUUGUACUCAUUUUCACAAAAAAUACUUUUUUUAACUUUUAAAAAUGUUAGCAAAGAAUUUCAACACAAUCGGUUUUUCUUUUAUUUUGAUUUGCUGUAUCAGCCGAGAAAAAAUUAUCUAUUGUAAAUGCGUCGAGCGAUCGAAAUUCACAAUAGUCCUAUUCUUCAACGAAUGAGCACCAUAAUACUAAAUGAAAAUUCGUUCGAGCAGCGCUUUCGACUACAGUCGAAGAUCGAAUGUUGCUCAUAAUAAGGGCCUGACAUUCGCUUUACGAUCUUCGACAACCAGCAAGUAUCGAAGAUCGAAUCCAACUCAUAAUAGGGGCCAUAAUAACGGUCGCCGGCUACAGUUAAGUUCACAUACGCGCAAGAGAAACGAAGGCAAAAAUGCGCGUAUUUCUACCAUUGUCAUAUAGGGUGCUACAGACAAUUUCAUGGAUGACAUUAAGCGUGCUGUGGUGAUGGUGUAAAUAGCUUCAGGUGUUGGACACGGGACGGUCGUUAUGUGCCUGUGCUCGAAUAAGUGCAGCGUUCCGACACCUAUACGAGCAAUUGUACCCACUUUCCGCAAUUUUCACCUACGGCUCAUGGCAUUUGAUCAACGUAAAUUUAUGGAUUAUAUUAGCAGUAUAUGAAAUUUUCAGAUGUAUUAGUUUUAGACCAUAUGAAUACAUUUUCCUAACUCUUAGCCACGCCAAGUAUAUUAAGGUAUACAAACUUUAAGCUAUAAAUAGUAAAUUUGUAAUUUUUGUUGCAAAUAAAGUCCUUUUCA